AGCGAACGCUGGCGGCAGGCCUAACACAUGCAAGUCGAACGGAUCCUUCGGGAUUAGUGGCGGACGGGUGAGUAACACGUGGGAACGUGCCCUUUGGUUCGGAACAACCCAGGGAAACUUGAGCUAAUACCGGAUGUGCCCUUCGGGGGAAAGAUUUAUCGCCAUUGGAGCGGCCCGCGUCUGAUUAGCUAGUUGGUGAGGUAACGGCCCACCAAGGCGACGAUCAGUAGCUGGUCUGAGAGGAUGAUCAGCCACACUGGGACUGAGACACGGCCCAGACUCCUACGGGAAGCAGCAGUGGGGAAUCUUGCGCAAUGGGCGAAAGCCUGACGCAGCCAUGCCGCGUGAAUGAUGAAGGUCUUAGGAUUGUAAAAUUCUUUCAGCGGGGACGAUAAUGACGGUACCCGCAGAAGAAGCUCCGGCUAACUUCGUG
rnacentral:rRNA from 1 species